rnacentral:lncRNA from 1 species
ACCAUACAUCCAAGGGGAAGUCUCACAAGCUAGUGUGACAAGGCUGAGCAUGGCAGUGCACACUUGUUUUUGUUUUGUUUUUAAAGAUUUAUUUAUUGGCCGGGCGGUGGUGGUGUACUCCUUUAAUCCCAGCCCUUGGGAGGCAGAGACAGAGGCAGGCGGAUUUUUGAGUUUGAGGCCAGUCUGGUCUACAAAGUGAGUUCCAGGACAGCCAGGGCUACACAGAGAAACCCUGUCUCGAAAACAAAACAAAACAAAACAACCCCCCCCCCCACACACACAAAAGGAUUUAUUUAUUAUUAUAUGUCAGUACACUGUAGCUGUUUUCAGAGAGGGCAUCAGAUCUCGUUACGGAUGGUUGUGAGCCACCAUGUGGUUGCUGGGAUUUGAACUUCGGACCUUUGGAAGCGCAGUCAGUGCUCUUACCCACGGAGCCAUCUCUCCAGCUUCUGGCAGUGCACACUUGUAAUCAUAAAGCUUUGGAGGCAAGUGGAUUGAGAGUUUGAGGAGAGCCUGGGCUGAGUAGCAAGACUCUAUAACAGAAAACAAAGCAAAGCAAAAAACAAACCCCCAAGAAACAAACAAAUACCACACCAUGCAAAGUAGUAUUCAGCAAUGCUUUUUAGGGGAGGUGGUGGUGACGUUCUGGAAGCCAAAUUGGAGUUUUCCAGGGAGAAAAUGGCAUUCUAGGCAUGGGAAGGCUUUCAACAAAGGCCUGGAGGUGAGAGAAAAGUGUUGUGUUUAUGAAGAGUUGUGGUCAGUUUAAAGAGGCCAACCAGGAUGACUGGGAUGUUUGAACUUUGUGAACACUUUUAAAAAAAAAAAAGAUUUAUUUAUUUAUUUAAUGUACGUGAGUACACUGUAGCUGUACAGAUGGUUAUGAGCCUUCAUGUAGUUGUUAAGAAUUGAAUUUUUUUAGGACCUCUGCUCACUCGUCAACUCUGCUUGCUCCAGCCCAAAGAUUUAUUUACCCGCUGAGCCAUCUCACCACCCCUUUGUGAACACUUAAUUUGCACCGACUCGUUCACACAUGUGGCUUGCCCUCACGUACAGUGUGCCUGCACAUGUGAAGGUCCAAGGACUGUCUCACUGUCAUUUCCUCCACUUUUUGUUUGAGAAAGGGUCUCACUGGCCUGGAAUGUCACCAGAUGGCUAGUUGGCCAUCCACCUCCAAGAUUCUCCACCUUUCAUCUCACCGUUCCUUUGGAUACAGGUCCCCAGCACUAUGCCUUGCUUUUUACGAGGGUUCCAGGGUUUCCAAAUUCAGGCCUUCACACUUCUAAGGCAAACACUUUACUGACCUAGACAUCAUUCUAACCUCUACCUUAAUUAAAAAC